GACGAACGCUGGCGGCGUGCUUAACACAUGCAAGUCGAACGGAAAGGCCGUGCUUAGGUGGGGUGCUCGAGGGGAGAACGGGUGAGUAACACGUGAGUAACCUGCCCUUGACUGUGGGAUAACUUCAGGAAAGUGGGGGUAAUACCGGAAAGGAGCUCCCGCCGUAGGGUGGGGGUGGGAAAGUUUAGGCGGUUGGGGAUGGACUCGCGGCUUAUCAGCUUGUUGGUGUGGUAGUGGCUGACCAAGCCCUGGACGGGUGGCCGGCCUGGGAGGGUGACCGGCCACGUUGGGACUGAGAUACGACCCAGCCUCCUACGGGAGGCAGCGGAGGGGUAUAUUACACAAUGGGCGGAGGCCUGAUGCAGCCACGCCGCGUGCGGGAUGACGGCCUUCGGGUUGUGAUGCACAUUCGCCUGUGACGGAGCGUGAGUGACGGUAAUGGGUGAAGAAGCACCGGCUAACUACGUG
rnacentral:rRNA from 1 species